CCUACGGGAGGCAGCAGUGGGGAAUAUUGCACAAUGGGGGAAACCCUGAUGCAGCGACGCCGCGUGAGUGAAGAAGUAUUUCGGUAUGUAAAGCUCUAUCAGCAGGGAAGAAAAUGACGGUACCUGAUUCAGAAGCCCCGGCUAACUACGUGCCAGCAGCCGCGGUAAUACGUAGGGGGCCAGCGUUAUCCGGAUUUACUGGGUGUAAAGGGAGCGUAGACGGCAGCACAAGUCUGGAGUGAAAUGCCGGGGCUGAACCCCGGAACUGCUUUGGAAACUGUGCAGCUAGAGUGCAGGAGAGGUAAGUGGAAUUCCUAGUGUAGCGGUGAAAUGCGUAGAUAUUAGGAGGAACACCAGUGGCGAAGGCGGCUUACUGGACUGUAACUGACGUUGAGGCUCGAAAGCGUGGGGAGCAAACAGGAUUAGAUACCCCAGUAGUC
rnacentral:rRNA from 1 species